CCCCGAAUCUUUAGCUUGGAAUCGAAAACCCCCCGAAUCUUUAAACUUGGAAUCGAAAAAAACCCCGAAUCUUUCAGCUUGGAAUCGAAAAACCCCCGAAUCUUUAAACUUGGAAUCGAAAACCCCUCGAAUCUUUAACCUUGGUAUCGAAGACCACCCGAAUCUUUAAACUCUGAAUCGAAAAAAACCCGAAUCUUUAGACUUGGAAUCGAAAACCCCCCGAAUCUUUAAAUUUGGAAUCGAAAAACCCCCGAAUCUUUAACCUUGGAAUCGAAAACCCCCCGAAUCUUUAAACUUGGAAUCGAAAAACCCCCGAAUCUUUAGGCUUGGAAUCGAAAACCCCCCGAAUCUUUAAACUUGGAAUCGAAAAAAACCCCGAAUCUUUAAGCUUGGAAUCGAAACCCCCCCCCCGAAUCUUUAAACUUGGAAUCGAAAACCCCCCCGAAUCUUUAAGCUUGGAAUCGAAAAACCCCCGAAUCUUUACACUUGGAAUCGAAAAAACCCCGAAUCUUUAAGCUUGGAAUCGAAAACCCCCCGAAUCUUUAAGCUUGGAAUCGAAACCCCCCCAAAUCUUUAAGACCUGGAAGGAAAAAAGCCGGAAUCUUUAAAACCUGUAAUGAAUGGCUUUUUCCAUUCCAGGUUUUAAAGAUUCCGGCUUUUUUUCAUUCCAGGUUUUAAAGGUUCCGGAUUUUUCCAUUCCAUUUCCAUUCAUUUUUGAAAAAGUGGCUAAAAAUGGACGAAAAUUAAAGCUAUAACCUUACUUUUUUGCCAUUUUUUGCCUGUUUUUCAAAAAUGAAAAAA